ACAUAUUUAAGCGUAUGAAGACAAAAUGUCAUUCUAAGUUAAUUUAAAAUAUUAAGUUUGGAACAAUUUUCUGCACUUCAGAAAACGUAAUAAACAUUUGGUAUCAAUACCAUAAAAAAUAUCGAUACCAUAUUAGGGUUUUAUGAUAUUGCACCGUGUUUUUUAAACAUAAAACAAUUUUUCCCCAAACUUUUUUCUCAUCCGUUUUUCAUUCUCAAAACCCCUAACACUCAAAAUCUCUAAUCUUCCAUUUUUUUUCUUCAUAAUCCCUACACAAAACAACUCCUAUUAUCAUUUUCAUCAAGGAUUACACAAGGUUGCUCAAGGAUUUCACCAUUUUAAAACACAUUUUGAUGUAAAUUUUUUUUUUCGAAAUUUCAUUAAAAUCUUUGUUAAAUAGCUAUUUUGAAAUUGAGUUUUGAGAUGAUUUAGAACAUAUUUAUUGUGUUUUUAUGCAGGAGGUUACCAAAUUUUUCCCCGCGUUGUUGAAAAUGUUGUUUUAAUCUCUUGCUCACCAAGUGUUUGUCAAAAUUUCUCAACGAAAUUUCUUAGUAAAAUUAGUGUGUUUUACAGUUCUAGAUUACAUUAUGCCUCUUAAGAAACGUCCUAGAUUCGAUCCCUCUUAUGCUAGUGCCUCUAGUGAGUCUAACUCGUCCUUUCGCGAAUGUUUUCGUUCUCUGGGAGAACGAGAAUGGUUUGAUAGAGACUUCAUCACUCGUCUAGUUAAUACCUCUAGAACAUUAAAUGUUGAUUGCUUAUAAUCAUUUAAUUUUAGGUAUCUUCCCGUUUUAUGUAAGUGACAAUUGCUUGAUUUCUUUAGAACACGUUCUCCCACUUUCGAAAACCUUGUCCGAGCCUUUUAUAGUAACCAAAUGGUCGAAUAUGACGAGUCCAAUGACACUGUUAUUGCCAUUAAUUCCUAUCUUAUGAAUACACAUAUUCACCUCACUCUAGAAGACUUCAGAAAUUUUUUGUCAUUACCUCCCGGUGGUGUGCCUAAUGAAAAGGGUCCUGUUAAUCCCACCAAUUUUGUUCCAUCUAAUCUUGCUAUUAAUUUAGAUAUGCAUGAUCAAUUAUUGCAUCUCGUUAUCUCUUGGAUCUUUAAACCCAUAUCUAAGCAUUUACCGUCAUUCGAAACGCAGAUUAUUGGUGGAUAGAUUGCUUUAAGUCGAACAGGCCCUUCUCAUGUAUAACGACAUUACCAAAUCUAUUGGGAGAGACCUAGGUAGCUCUAUAACCUUACCAUUUGGGACCUAUCUUUUUUUUUUUUCCCAUUUGGGCAUCAAUACUCGUGUCAAUACCCCCAUCCGAAGACAUCAACCUAUCGGUAUUGGGGCUCUUCAUCAUGCCAAGUACAAGCAAAAUCCCUCUACUGGAGAAUGAGAGAAAGAAGGCCAAGCGACGCGUCAUGAUGAUGAAGACCUUGGAGUUGAUCUUGAUGAUAUUCCACCUCCUGCCAAGCAGGCUUCUUCACCGGCAUCUUCAUCCGCUCAACCAUCUGCUCUGUCUCACUCUGGCAACAUGUUUGCUGCCAUCCUUGGUGCUAUUACUUCCUUGAGUGAGGAGUUUAGUGGUUUUCGUACUUGUGUAGAUGAUGCUUUUGAUUGAGUAAAUAAUAAUGUUGGUAAUCUAGGCUCUAAGAUAAAGACUUUGGAGGAGCAAAUGACUCAACUUCUUGCUCACUUUCCUCCAUUGGAUCCUUCAUCAUCACCUAGGGAUGAUUAGUUUAGACCAUUCAUACGUUUGCAUCAUGCAUCUUUUAAUUUGUUAAUGCACUCUUCUAUUGUCCUACUUUAAUUUGGGAUAUUAUCAUGUUUAUUCUUAAUGUUAGUUCGUUGUUUUCAUAAUUUUCAGUUUCUAUUCUUGGGCUAACAAAAUUUCUCUCAUUUAAGCUUUAUUUGUCCUAUUUUGAUAUAACAAAAAGGGAGAGAAGAGAAAGGUAAAGUUAAUGGUAAUGGUUGAUUGAACAAUAGUUGAUUGUGUUACCAAAAUUUAGUGACCAAUUGUUUCAAAAUGUUUUUCAACUAAAA
rnacentral:lncRNA from 1 species